UUUCCGUAGGUGAACCUGCGGAAGGAUCAUUGUCGAAACCUGCCCAGCAGAACGACCCGCGAACUUGUAUAAACAACUGGGGGCGGGGGGCGUUCUCGCCCCGUGCCCCCGAACGGCGGGGAGACACUCGUGCCUUCUUGCCGAACAACGAACCCCGGCGCGGUCUGCGCCAAGGAACCUCAACUAAAGAGUGCCUCCGGUCGCCUCGGAAACGGCGUGCGUGCCGGAGGCGAAUCUUGUGCAAAACCAUAACGACUCUCGGCAACGGAUGUCUCGGCUCUCGCAUCGAUGAAGAACGCGGC
rnacentral:misc_RNA from 1 species